rnacentral:rRNA from 1 species
AGUCACUGACAUUUAGAUACCCGGGUAGUCCAGGGUGUAAACGCUGCAGACUUGGUGUUGGAGGCCCUUUGGGGACAUUCAGUGCCGGAGAGAAGUUGUUAAGUCUGCUACUUGGGGAGUACGUCCGCAAGGAUGAAACUUAAAGGAAUUGGCGGGGGAGCACCGCAACGGGAGGAGCGUGCGGUUUAAUUGGAUUCAACACCGUAAAACUCACCAGGGAAGACUGUUACAUGAAGGCCGAGAUGAAGACUCUGCUAGAUUUUUCAG